rnacentral:rRNA from 1 species
UACGGAGGGUGCGAGCGUUGUCCGGAAUCAUUGGGCGUAAAGGGCGCGUAGGUGGCCCGGUCAGUUCGUGGUGAAAGCGCGGGGCUCAACCCUGCGUCGGCCAUGAAUACUGCCGCGGCUGGAGCACUGUAGAGGCAGGCGGAAUUCCGGGUGUAGCGGUGGAAUGCGUAGAGAUCCGGAAGAACACCGGUGGCGAAGGCGGCCGCUGGGCAGUUGCUGACACUGAGGCGCGGACAGCGUGGGGAGCAAACAGG